GGACGAACGCUGGCGGCGCGCCUAACACAUGCAAGUCGAACGAGCAAAGAGGAGCUUGCUUCUCUGAGCGAGUGGCGAACGGGUGAGUAACGCGUGAGGAACCUGCCUCAAAGAGGGGGACAACAGUUGGAAACGACUGCUAAUACCGCAUGACGCAUUUUGAUCGCAUGGUCGAAAUGCCAAAGAUUUAUCGCUGAAAGAUGGCCUCGCGUCUGAUUAGCUAGUUGGUGAGGUAACGGCCCACCAAGCCGACGAUCAGUAGCCGACCUGAGAGGGUGACCGGCCACAUUGGGACUGAGACACGGCCCAGACUCCUACGGGAGGCAGCAGUGGGGAAUAUUGCACAAUGGAGGAAACUCUGAUGCAGCGACGCCGCGUGAGUGAAGAAGUAUUUCGGUAUGUAAAGCUCUAUCAGCAGGGAAGACAGUGACGGUACCUGACUAAGAAGCUCCGGCUAAAUACGUG
rnacentral:rRNA from 1 species